rnacentral:rRNA from 1 species
UACGGGGGGUGCAAGCGUUGUUCGGAAUUACUGGGCUUAAAGGGCUCGUAGGUGGCCUACUAAGUCAGAGGUGAAAUCCCCAGGCUUAACCUGGGAACUGCGUCUGAUACUGGAUGGCUAGAGUGUGGGAGAGGGAUGCGGAAUUCCAGGUGUAGCGGUGAAAUGCGUAGAUAUCUGGAGGAACACCGGUGGCGAAGGCGGCAUCCUGGACCAACACUGACGCUGAGGAGCGAAAGCCAGGGGAGCAAACGGG